rnacentral:misc_RNA from 1 species
UUUCCGUAGGUGAACCUGCGGAAGGAUCAUUAUUGUAUAACCGAGGUGCGAGGGCAGUCGCUGACCCGAAAGGUCGUGCACGCCCGAGUGCCCUCACACACAUCCAUCUCACCCCUAUGUGCACCACCGCGUGGGUCCCCCUUUGGCUUGUUCGGAGGGGGGCUUACGUUUUCACACAAACUUUGUAUGCAGUGUAGAAUGUAUUUUUUGUUUUUGCGAUCACGCAAUCAAUACAACUUUCAACAACGGAUCUCUUGGCUCUU